rnacentral:tRNA from 1 species
GCCGCCUUAGCUCAGUUGGAAGAGCGGGAUACUUGUAAUAUUCAGGUCGUCGGUUCGAUUCCGACAGGCGGCUCCA